AGAGUUUGAUCCUGGCUCAGGAUGAACGCUAGCGGCAGGCUUAACACAUGCAAGUCGAGGGGCAGCGGGUUCUAGCAAUAGAAUGCCGGCGACCGGCGCACGGGUGCGUAACGCGUAUACAAUUUGCCUUAUACGGGGAGAUAGCCCGGAGAAAUUCGGAUUAAUAUCCCAUAAUAUUAUUUUUCAGCAUUGGAGAAUUCUUAAAGCUACGGCGGUAUAAGAUGAGUAUGCGUCUGAUUAGCUAGUUGGUAAGGUAAUGGCUUACCAAGGCGACGAUCAGUAGGGGGCCUGAGAGGGUUAUCCCCCACACUGGAACUGAGACACGGUCCAGACUCCUACGGGAGGCAGCAGUGAGGAAUAUUGGACAAUGGGCGCAAGCCUGAUCCAGCCAUGCCGCGUGUAGGAAGACGGCCCUAUGGGUUGUAAACUACUUUUAUUGGGGAAGAAACCCUCUUACGUGUAAGAGGCUGACGGUACCCAAGGAAUAAGGACCGGCUAACUCCGUGCCAGCAGCCGCGGUAAUACGUAGGCAGCGAGCGUUGUUCGGAAUUACUGGGCGUAAAGCGUGCGUAGGCGGUGCCUCAAGUUUGGUGUGAAAUCUCCCGGCUCAACCGGGAGGGUGCGCCGAAAACUGAGGUGCUCGAGUGUGGGAGAGGUAAGCGGAAUUCCUGGUGUAGCGGUGAAAUGCGUAGAUAUCAGGAGGAACACCGGCGGUGUAGACGGCUUACUGGACCAUAACUGACGCUGAGGCACGAAAGUGUGGGGAGCAAACAGGAUUAGAUACCCUGGUAGUCCACACCCUAAACGAUGCAUACUUGGUGUGAGCCAUUCAUUUGGUUCGUGCCGGAGCUAACGCGUUAAGUAUGCCGCCUGGGGAGUACGGUCGCAAGGCUGAAACUCAAAGGAAUUGACGGGGGCCCGCACAAGCGGUGGAGCAUGUGGUUUAAUUCGACCCACGCGAAGAACCUUACCUGGGCUCGAACGGCUUAAGACCGGUGUAGAAAUACAUUUUUUCCGCAAGGAACUUGAGUCGAGGUGCUGCAUGGCUGUCGUCAGCUCGUGUCGUGAGAUGUUGGGUUAAGUCCCGCAACGAGCGCAACCCUUGCCCUGUUUUGCCAUCAUUCAGUUGGGAACUAUCAGGGGACCGCCAGCGAUAAGCUGGAGGAAGGUGGGGAUGACGUCAAGUCAUCAUGGCCUUUAUGUCCAGGGCUACACACGUGCUACAAUGGACGGUACAAUGCGCUGCCAACCCGCGAGGGGGAGCAAAUCGCAAAAAACCGUUCUCAGUUCGGAUCGCAGGCUGCAACUCGCCUGCGUGAAGCUGGAAUCGCUAGUAAUGGCAUAUCAGAACGAUGCCGUGAAUACGUUCCCGGGCCUUGUACACACCGCCCGUCACAUCACGAAAGUGGAUUGUACUAGAAGUCUGCAGGCUAACCCGCAAGGGAGGCAGCGGCCCAAGGUAUGAUUCAUGAUUGGGGUGAAGUCGGAACAAGGUA
rnacentral:rRNA from 1 species